GAGUAUCGAUCACAGGAUGCAAGGAUUUCAGACAGGUAUCUGGAGCUGCAGGUAAAAGUUAGUUCCUAGUUUUUCUCUCUCUAAAUUUCUCUCUUGAGUCAAAGUUUUCUUCCAUGGCAGGAUCAGCGACCAAGAUUGGACAUUCCAUGAAUCAAAACUUAAUGGUGGUUGCCACCAAGUUCUGUUCACUUCUUUUUGACCUAUAUCCAAGAGUUCUUGCGAAAGCGAGCCUUGAAGAUUGCCGCCUCCAAGUCCCGUUUCGAACUCUUUUAUUUGAGUCUUUAUGAAUCAAGCCUUAAUGGUUUUAGCCACCAAGUCCUGUUCAGACUCAUCCUAAUUAAACAAUAAAUCUUAUUUAUUUUUUAUUAUUAUUUUUUUAUUUAUUUAUUUAUUUAUUUUUAUUUUUUAAAUACUUACUAACUAAUCUAGGGUCGAAAUUUAGAGAGAGAAAAUGUGAUAAAUAAUCUAAACCAGGCGUUACCUUCCAGACAUGUCUGAAGAAUCCGAUCCCAUGUAUACCAAGCCCCAAGACAAGCGGUUAUGUCAUGUUUAGUGUUGGAAAUCAGCUUUGGUUACUUCAUACGGUUUAAGGUAAGUGUGUAGUUGAUAGGUUGAUCCCCUUUAGCAUCU
rnacentral:lncRNA from 1 species